rnacentral:rRNA from 1 species
AGAGUUUGAUCAUGGCUCAGAUUGAACGCUGGCGGCAUGCCUUACACAUGCAAGCCGAACGGCAGCAUAGGAGCUUGCUCCUGAUGGCGAGUGGCGAACGGGUGAGUAAUAUAUCGGAACGUGCCCUAGAGUGGGGGAUAACUAGUCGAAAGACUAGCUAAUACCGCAUACGAUCUACGGAUGAAAGUGGGGGAUCGCAAGACCUCAUGCUCCUGGAGCGGCCGAUAUCUGAUUAGCUAGUUGGUGGGGUAAAAGCCUACCAAGGCAACGAUCAGUAGCUGGUCUGAGAGGACGACCAGCCACACUGGGACUGAGACACGGCCCAGACUCCUACGGGAGGCGGCAGUGGGGAAUUUUGGACAAUGGGGGCAACCCUGAUCCAGCAAUGCCGCGUGAGUGAAGAAGGCCUUCGGGUUGUAAAGCUCUUUUGUCAGGGAAGAAACGGUAGUAGCGAAUAACUAUUACUAAUGACGGUACCUGAAGAAUAAGCACCGGCUAACUACGUGCCAGCAGCCGCGGUAAU